AUCUCCUACGGGAGGCAGCAGUGGGGAAUAUUGCACAAUGGGGGAAACCCUGAUGCAGCGACGCCGCGUGGGCGACGAAGCGCUCCGGCGCGUAAAGCCCUGUCAGCAGGGAAGAACAAAGACAGUACCUGACCAAGAAGCCCCGGCUAACUACGUGCCAGCAGCCGCGGUAAUACGUAAGAGGCAAGCGUUAUCCGGAUUCACUGGGCGUAAAGGGAGCGCAGGCGGCACGGCAAGUCUGGUGUGAAAACCCGGGGCCCAACCCCGGCGAGCCGUUGAAACUGGCUGUCUUGAGAUGUCGAGAG
rnacentral:rRNA from 1 species